rnacentral:rRNA from 1 species
UCAGUGAAAUUGAACUCGCUGUGAAGAUGCAGUGUACCCGCGGCAAGACGGAAAGACCCCGUGAACCUUUACUAUAGCUUGACACUGAACAUUGAGCCUUGAUGUGUAGGAUAGGUGGGAGGCUUUGAAGUGUGGACGCCAGUCUGCAUGGAGCCGACCUUGAAAUACCACCCUUUAAUGUUUGAUGUUCUAACGUGGACCCGUAAUCCGGGUUGCGGACAGUGUCUGGUGGGUAGUUUGACUGGGGCGGUCUCCUCCUAAAGAGUAACGGAGGAGCACGAAGGUUGGCUAAUCCUGGUCGGACAUCAGGAGGUUAGUGCAAUGGCAUAAGCCAGCUUGACUGCGAGCGUGACGGCGCGAGCAGGUGCGAAAGCAGGUCAUAGUGAUCCGGUGGUUCUGAAUGGAAGGGCCAUCGCUCAACGGAUAAAAGGUACUCCGGGGAUAACAGGCUGAUACCGCCCAAGAGUUCAUAUCGACGGCGGUGUUUGGCACCUCGAUGUCGGCUCAUCACAUCCUGGGGCUGAAGUAGGUCCCAAGGGUAUGGCUGUUCGCCAUUUAAAGUGGUACGCGAGCUGGGUUUAGAACGUCGUGAGACAGUUCGGUCCCUAUCUGCCGUGGGCGCUGGAGAACUGAGGGGGGCUGCUCCUAGUACGAGAGGACCGGAGUGGACGCAUCACUGGUGUUCGGGUUGUCAUGCCAAUGGCACUGCCCGGUAGCUAAAUGCGGAAGAGAUAAGUGCUGAAAGCAUCUAAGCACGAAACUUGCCCCGA